UUUACACUGUUUAUGUUCUGGACAAAGAAAGAUGGCGUUUUGGCUUUGUUUCAUGUAGUAACUAACUGAAAGCGUAAUAGAUGCCUAUGUGAAGUGAGAUGAUUGCCUUUCGGAAACACUGUGUAAUUUUGGACAAAAGGUAUGAAGUUGAAAAGUCAAAAGUUAGUGUAUACCAAGACCAGAAAUGAAGCUAAGAUAGAGACAGACAUAGUACAGGUCAUGUAACAGAUGGUUAGUCACAGGGUUAGUAAUCCUUAUGCUGGACAUGAGUAUCAAGAUCUGCACUGUUUGCCACAUAGUCAGUAUAUUUUUGGCGUGGACAGAAUGUUGUUGUGGUGACUUUGUUCAAGUUACAUAUUCUGACAAAGAUGGUAAAGCAGUGGCAGACAGAGUUGUGUGACAUUGUGUAUGUUUCGUUUGUUAGAGCCCAUGCACAGACAGAAGAAAAGCCAAGUUGCCACUCUUGCAGCCAGUUGAACACAAUAAUCCACUUCAUGUGCAUAAUCUACAAAUUCCACAUCAUCCAAGAGUAGACAACAUUCCAUGUAUUCCAGUUAAGCAUGUGGAAGUAUUUGAACAGAACACCAAAGACUAGGGUAACAUAAUCCAAUAUGGCACCAGGAAACUGCAUCACUUCUUGGACAGUUUAUAAUAAGACAGGCUCCUAUAAGAAAGAAAUUUGUCAAUAGUGUUCUUACGCUCAAACUAUUUACAAGUGCCAAAAUAAGUUAUUGAAAAUUACAAUGAAAAGGUGGCAUGCAAUAUGUAUAGAAAAAGGAAAAACUACAAUAGCAUCAAUGCGCAUGGUUUUGUUGUCAACCAAGACUUUCCGUAUAUUGUGGCAUCACCAGACCAUAAAACUUGUGACAAUUCCUUCAUUGGAAUUCUUGAAAUUAAGUGUCCAUUCUUUCUAAGAGACUAACAGACUCAACAUCGGAAGAUGUAAGUAAAUCCCAAAAGCUAUGCUUAGAAAAAGUUGGGGAAAAUGUAAGGAUAGAAGUCACACAUCCAUACUAGUAUCUACGGUGCCCCUAAAGUGACAUGUUACACACAUUUUUUCCAAUUAGGUAAUUUGAGACUUUUUUUUAUUUCGUUUAAACGAAAUAACUUAUUAAGUUGAAAUCAUUAAGUUUAAAGUUUAAAAGAAGUCAACAAGUUUAAGUUUAAAUGAAAUCAUAAGUUAUUUCAUUUAAACGAAAUGAUUAUUUCAUUUAAUUUCAUUUAAACAAAAUAAGUUAUUUCGUUUAAACGAAAUGAUUAUUUCGUUUAACGAAAUGAUUUCGUUUAAACGAAAUAAAAAAAAGUCUCACAUUACCUAAUUGGAAAAAAUGUAACAUGUCACUUUAGGGGCACCGUAAGUAUCAAAUCGAGGGACAGCUUAAUAAUUAACAGCAGCAGAUUUCUGUGACUUUGUUCUGUAUACUAGACCGGACAUAUUCAAAGAGUGAUGCCAGACAAGUUACAAUGGAUGGAAUACUAUUAACCCUUACCUGCUAAAUUUCAAUAAUGAACUUGUCCAUCUUUCAAUUUGGACAACCAUUAACUGUUAAAAGGGGUGCUGACUAAAGAGUAUGAAUGGUGAGCAAUGCAAAUCUUGAUCAAACUGCACAGAUGUGCAGGCUGAUCAUGAUCUACACUGGUCACAAAGGCAGAAUUAAUCAAGUCCAGCAUAAUAAGGGUUAAAAUGAGUGGUCUACAGUAAGUUUGUUUUUAAGUAGUAUAGUAUAGUAUAGUUACCUUUUGAUGUAUCUAUACUGCUUGAAGCUGGCUCCGAUGUUGGUAUUUCUGCAGAUCCAUUCGAUGUUUGAUAAAUUUGGUUCUGUUGAUUACAGUAAAUAAAUUAUUCAGUAGAUAAAAUAACAAAGGAUACUAAUUUAUAAAAUGCAUAUAUUGAAUACUAAUUUAUAAAAUGCAUUUAUAAUAUGACUGUUAAACUGUUCAAUUUUUAAAUUGUUUUGCAUAGAUAUUUAUUUGCGUUUACAUUACAUGAUUA